rnacentral:lncRNA from 10 species
UUUGGCUAUGUCAAGAACAUUCUCAAACAAGGGCAGCAAAGGACCAUAAGCAAUUCUCCAAUGGUGAAGAUCGACCCCAGUCAUGUAAAAACACGAGGCAACACAUUUCACUUUUGCUUAAGAAGGAUCUUGCAGAAAGUGAAGAAGAGCAGGAAUAGAGAAGACAUUUGAAUGACGACUGAUGUUCUCUUCUUUGGCCUGAGGUUUUAGAACACAUUCACUGCCUGAUCACUGUGGCCCAGAAGCCAUGGCCUCUGCUGAGAGAUAGGGACCCCAUGUUCCCUCUACACAUCUUCUUCCCCAAAGCCUCUCUGAGGCUCCUAUGUUCAAAGAAACAGUCCUCUGGCAAUGGCCUGGUCCUUUCUGCCAUACCAAAGAAAGUUGUUUUUUGUUUUGAGCAAGAGAUCACUUCUGAUUUUCCUACCUUUGACAUGGACCAGACUAAUUGACAAAUUCUAGAAGGACAGACACUUCCAAACGUCUCUUGACAUACUGGCUUCACAAAGGUUAGGAAAGCUGUUAUGGGGAGGACGGAGCCUUUCUCCUCUUCCUGAGAACGUUUGAAGAAGAAAGGGGCUACUGAGAAGUCUGGUAGAUUCAGCAGCUAGUAAAUAUCGUGUCUAAAUGGGCAUCUUUUAUUAAACUCUGAGGCAGGGUUGGUGUGUUAGGCCAUUCUUUCUUGCUAUAAAGAAAUAUCUGAGACUGGGUAACUUAUAAAGAACAGAGGUUUAAUUGGCUCAUGGUUCUGCAGGCUGCACAGAAAGCAUAAUGACAUCUUCUUCUGGCUAGGCCUCUGGAAGCUUCCAAUGAUGGUGGAAGGCGAAGAGGGAACUUGCGCAUCACAUGGCAAAAGCAGGAGCAAGAGAGAGGCGA